UAUUACCCAUAUCAAAUAUGAGCGGGUUAAUUGUUUAUGUUUACCUAUUUUCAACCCACUCAUAUUUGAUCCAACCCGCCCAUUUGCCACCACUAUACUAAAUUAAAAUCUAUAAGUAUAUGUUAUCUAUAUUACAUGCAAGUGAUCAUGGCUAUUUGCUUUGGAAAAUGGACGCAUUAAUGACAUGUUUUAAAGUUGUAGGAGACUAGACUUAGAGUGAAUAAUAUUACUAACGGGUUAAAUCUUUUACAUAUAAUUUUAUUUUAAGCUCUUUCCGAUUUCCAACCAUCCACCCACUCACCCUCUACAAAAAGUAAGAAUAUAAAGCAGAAAAACAAAAUAAAACUAAAAUAAGGAGCAAUAUUAUUAUUAGUAUUGUUAAUAGUAUAAAGAUUAUUUAAUUAAGUGACAAAACAUCUGAGAAGCCAACCCAUAAUCUUGAUGAUCGAGCUACAUGUUGUGGAAUCAGGAGACAGGUCAAAAAGAAAGGUUAAAAAACAUUUUGUUUGAAAUUAAAAAAAAACAAAAAAAAAAAGAGACAUAGUUCAAAUAGUUGAAGAAAGAUUAUUGACCCUCAUUGAGAUUUCCCUUCCCUUUAUAAGUUGAUAGAGUAGCAAAAAAAAACACUAAAUUUUUAGCUUAGUAAUUUCUUGGAGCAAAAAGAUAAUACAUAUUUUUAUUAUAUAGUUCAUUUAUUAUUAUUAUCAAUAUGAAACCUUUAUCUAGCUUCUACUCUUUUGCUAUUAUCCUAGUAAUUUUGAUCUUCCAUUUGUUGUUUCUAGCUCAUGGUAGACAAGUUGUCACUAAUAAUGAUCUCAUAGUUGAUUCUUCUAAGGAUUCAAUGAAGAAGGGUGAAAAAGGUGGAUGUGGACAAGAUAGAGGUGAUUGCAAACAAGAAAAUGGUAAAGGUGGAGCAGAAGAGAAAUUGUUUGAGAAUGAAGACUAUAUCUAUACACAAUCUCUUCCAUAGGUGAAAGCUUCUCUUUUUUUUUAAUUUUUUUGUUUGUUUGUUUUGGCUUUAACUUUGUAACAUAGAUUUUUCUCUGUUCAUCAAACGAAUUGAGUAGGAUUUUGCAACUUUUGAUUUAGAAUGUAUGAUAAUUUGUUGGUCAAUGGAAAAAUUUAACUUUCCUCCUA